UACGCAGGGUGCGAGCGUUGUCCGGAAUUAUUGGGCGUAAAGAGCUCGUAGGCGGUUUGUCGCGUCGACUGUGAAAACCUACAGCUUAACUGUGGGCUUGCAGUCGAUACGGGCAGACUUGAGUUCGGUAGGGGAGACUGGAAUUCCUGGUGUAGCGGUGAAAUGCGCAGAUAUCAGGAGGAACACCGGUGGCGAAGGCGGGUCUCUGGGCCGAUACUGACGCUGAGGAGCGAAAGCGUGGGGAGCGAACAGG
rnacentral:rRNA from 1 species